rnacentral:misc_RNA from 1 species
CAACGAUUGUGAGGCACAAGAUGGAUAACUGCCGGGUUGAGUACAGAUAAAGCAUUAAACAUAGUACUAAACAAAAAAACUUGAAUAACUUGAAUCCCCAGAAUAACUCCUUAGUUUCUCUUAGUAAUCACCAAAAACUUGCUUCUAAGCCACGAGGGUGCUGGCCGUGGUGGAUUCAUACUUCCAAACAGGGGGAAGCUUCUUUGUCUUCUUGUAAUACCGAGCCAGGCGAUGGAUCCUGCUCUCCACCAAAAUCAACCUGAACUUCGAAUCCUUGUCUUUCCUGUUCCUCUCCAAAUGCUUUCUGAUUGAAACAGCUUUCUUGAUGAGAUGGUAAAGAUCCUCCGGGAUUUCAGGUGCUAGACCAUGAGCCUUCAAUAUGCGCAAAAUCUUGCUCCCAGUUACACUCUUGACCUGAGCAAUCCCAUGAGAAUCACGGAGAAUAACACCAAUUUGAGAUGGUGUCAAACCCUUCUUGGCAAAUUUGCAAAUGUUUUCGGCAACAUCCUGCGAAGAGAUCUUCAACCAACUUGGCGGCGUCCUCUUGUAAGGCAGUGCCGAAGCUGAAAUACCCUUACCUCGACUAUGCAUACGACCCAUUGCGACGGCGCGUGGAGAAGAGACGGCUUGCGAUCUUCAGAGGUUGAACUACAACUUCG